rnacentral:rRNA from 1 species
AGUGAACGCUGGCGGUAGGCCUAACACAUGCAAGUCGAACGGCAGCACAGUAAGAGCUUGCUCUUACGGGUGGCGAGUGGCGGACGGGUGAGGAAUACAUCGGCAUCUACUUUUUCGUGGGGGAUAACGUAGGGAAACUUACGCUAAUACCGCAUAUGACCUACGGGUGAAAGCAGGGGAUCUUCGCACCUUGCGCGACUGAAUGAGCCGAUGUCGGAUUAGCUAGUUGGCGGGGUAAAGGCCCACCAAGGCGACGAUCCGUAGCUGGUCUGAGAGGAUGAUCAGCCACACUGGAACUGAGACACGGUCCAGACUCCUACGGGAGGCAGCAGUGGGGAAUAUUCGACAAUGGGCGCAAGCCUGAUCCAGCCAUACCGCGUGGGUGAAGAAGGCCUUCGGGUUGUAAAGCCCUUUUGUUGGGAAAGAAAAGCAGCAGGUUAAAACCCCGCUGUUCUGACGGUACCCAAAGAAUAAGCACCGGCUAACUUCGUG